rnacentral:rRNA from 1 species
GUGUCAGCCGCCGCGGUAAUACGUAGGAUCCGAGCGUUAUCCGAAUUUACUGGGCGUAAAGCGUGUGUAGGCGGUUUGGUAAGUUGGAUGUGAAAGCUCCCGGCUCAACUGGGAGAGGCCGUUCAAAACUACCAGACUAGAGGACGGUAGAGGGAGGUAGAAUUCCCGGUGUAGUAGUGAAAUGCGUAGAUAUCGGGAGGAAUACCAGUGGCGAAGGCGGCCUCCUGGACCGUUCCUGACGCUCAGACACGAAAGCUAGGGGAGCGAACGGGAUUAGAAACCCGGGUAGUCC